rnacentral:rRNA from 1 species
AUACGGAGGAUGCGAGCGUUAUCCGGAUUUAUUGGGUUUAAAGGGUGCGCAGGCGGCGCGUCAAGUCAGCGGUCAAAGUUCCGGGCUCAACCCGGUGAUGCCGUUGAGACUGCCGCGCUGGAGUUCGGGCGAGGACGGCGGAAUGCGUGGUGUAGCGGUGAAAUGCAUAGAUAUCACGCAGAACUCCGAUUGCGAAGGCAGCGGUCCCGGGCGUUACUGACGCUGAGGCACGAAAGCGUGGGUAUCGAACAGGAUUAGAUACCCUGGUAGUCCACGCAGUAAACGAUGAUCACUAGAUGUGCGGCGCGUUUGUGCGCUGCGUGUCACAGCGAAAGCGUUAAGUGAUCCACCUGGGGAGUACGCCGGCAACGGUGAAACUCAAAGGAAUUGACGGGG